AACAAGUAUUGGUAACAAUUUUCAGUUUCUGUCUUGCUGGUCAUUUCAAUUUCUUCAUAUUCAUUGUUGUUCAGAAGUGUUAUAAGUUAUUCCUUUUUCACUUUGAAAGCUUAUUACUAACAUUAUAAACUAAAAUGCUGCAUGUGCAUAUUAGUGUAAAAAAAAAAAAUGAACAAAAUAUGCAGCAUUUCAGUGUAUGUUAUUGUUGAAAUAUUUCUUGUUACAGUUUGUUUCUUUUUUUUUUUUAUGUAGAAUGAGCAGUAUUUUAGGGGGAUUGCUGCUCUUGCAUUCAUUUAGUAACAAACAGUUGAUACCACUGGGCAUUUUGCUUAAAAAUGAAAACAAAACAAAUGACAUGAUAGAGAUCCUGGAACACUUGCAUCAGUUUGUCCCUGGGGCAAGGACAGAUGUGGAUGAAAUUCAUGAAAGAGAGGAAAGAAAUAUCCAAAUGCGAGCCAUUCCAGUUGGAGGUGACCAACUUACAUGCGAGAGGA